GUGGGGAAUAUUCCGCAAUGGACGAAACCCUGACCCAGCAACGCCGCGUGAAGGAAGAAGGUUUUCGGAUCGUAAACUUCUAUCCUUGGUGAAGAUAAUGACGGUAGCCAAGAAGGAAGCCCCGGCUAACUACGUGCCAGCAGCCGCGGUAAUACGUAGGGGGCAAGCGUUGUCCGGAAUGAUUGGGCGUAAAGGGCGCGUAGGCGGCCUGGUAAGUCUGGAGUGAAAGUCCUGCUUUUAAGGUGGGAAUUGCUUUGGAUACUGUCGGGCUUGAGUGCAGGAGAGGUAAGUGGAAUUCCCGGUGUAGCGGUGAAAUGCGUAGAGAUCGGGAGGAACACCAGUGGCGAAGGCGACUUACUGGACUGUAACUGACGCUGAGGCGCGAAAGUGUGGGGAGCAAACAGGAUUAGAAACCCGUGUAGUCC
rnacentral:rRNA from 1 species